rnacentral:rRNA from 1 species
GAUGAACGCUGGCGGCGUGCCUAAUACAUGCAAGUCGAGCGAACAGACGGGGAGCUUGCUCCCCUGACGUUAGCGGCGGACGGGUGAGUAACACGUGGAUAACCUACCUAUAAGACUGGGAUAACUACGGGAAACCGGAGCUACUACCGGAUAAUAUAUUGAACCGCAUGGUUCAAUAGUUAAAGACGGUUUUGCUGUCACUUAUAGCUGGAUCCGCGCCGCAUUAGCUAGUUGGUAAGGUAACGGCUUAACAAGGCAACGAUGCGUAGCCGACCUGAGAGGGUGAUCGGCCACACUGGAACUGAGACACGGUCCAGACUCCUACGGGAGGCAGCAGUAGGGAAUCUUCCGCAAUGGGCGAAAGCCUGAUGGAGCAACGCCGCGUGAGUGAUGAAGGUCUUCGGAUCGUAAAGCUCUGUUGUUAGGGAAGAACAAAAGUGUAAGUAACUAUGCACGUCUUGACGGUACCUAAUCAGAAAGCCCCGGCUAACUACGUG